UGUGUAGGCGGCCUGUUAAGUUCCGUGUGAAAUCUCCCGGCUCAACCGGGAGGGUGCGCGGAAAACUGGCGGGCUAGAGUACGGGAUGGGAGAGUAGAAUUCCUGGUGUAGCGGUGAAAUGCGUAGAUAUCAGGAGGAAUACCGGUGGUGUAGACGGCUCUCUGGACCGUAACUGACGCUGAAACACGAAAGCGUGGGUAGCAAACAGGAUUAGAUACCCUGGUAGUCCACGCCCUAAACGAUGCAUAUUUGGUGUAGGCAGUUCAUUCUGUCUGUGCCGGAGCUAACGCGUUAAAUAUGCCGCCGUGGGGAGUACAGUCGACAAGGCUAGUAA
rnacentral:rRNA from 1 species